UCCGAGUUGACCCCGGCAGUCUCCUGCGAGUCCCCGGCUUUACCCUCUGGCAACACAGGACAAGGGUUGCGCUCGUUGCGGGACUUAACCGAACAUCUCACGACACGAGCUGACGACAGCCAUGCAGCACCUGUCCACCUGUCCCUUGCGGGAAAGACCUGUCUCCAGGCCGGUCAGGCGAUGUCAAAGGCUGGUAAGGUUCUGCGCGUUGCUUCGAAUUAAACCACAUGCUCCGCUGCUUGUGCGGGUCCCCGUCAAUUCCUUUGAGUUUUAGCCUUGCGGCCGUACUCCCCAGGCGGGGCACCUAAUGCGUUAGCUUCGGCACGGAGGGAGUCGACACCCACCACACCUAGUGCCCAUCGUUUACGGCGUGGACUAC
rnacentral:misc_RNA from 1 species